GGAGAGCGCCUGCCUUGCACGCAGGAGGUCUGCGGUUCGAUCCCGCAUAGCUCCA
rnacentral:tRNA from 1 species